rnacentral:rRNA from 1 species
UACAGAGGGUGCGAGCGUUAAUCGGAAUUACUGGGCGUAAAGGGCGCGUAGGCGGCCUGCUAAGUCGAACGUGAAAUCCCUGGGCUCAACCCAGGAACUGCGUCCGAUACUGGUUGGCUUGAAUCCGGGAGAGGGAUGUGGAAUUCCAGGUGUAGCGGUGAAAUGCGUAGAUAUCUGGAGGAACACCGGGUGGCGAAGGCGACAUCCUGGACCGGUAUUGACGCUGAGGCGCGAAA